rnacentral:rRNA from 1 species
CCCUUAGAUGUUCUGGGCCGCACGCGUGCUACACUGAGUGGAUCAGCGGGUCAGGUUGCGCGAAAGCGUUUCCUAAUCUUUAAAUCCGCUCGUGAUGGGGAUUGACGGUUGCAAUUUUCUGUCAUGAACGAGGAAUACCUUGUAAGCGCGGGUCAUCAUCCCGCGCUGAAUACGUCCCUGCCCUUUGUACACACCGCCCGUCGCUCCUACCGAUUGAGUGGUCCGGUGAGGCUUUGGGAUCUGAGCGGAAAGAGCGUUUCGCUGUUUCUGCUCGGAAAACUCAGCCGAACCUUAUCAUUUAGAGGAAGGAGAAGUCGAAACA